CUCUGUGGAUUGAGCGUUUCGAUACUUUCACAGUAUUUAUAUAACAAUUACCUGCUUUAUAACAUAAAAUACAUGAAAAUCUAAAUUUUUAGAAUAUGGGACCUUUACAUUUUCUCAUAGAGGCAUGCAAUUGGGAGUGGCAAUAUGACAUAGGUGCUUUGUCUACAGUAGAAGAAGCUCAAUCAGUAACUCAUACAGAGCUGACAGGGGUCCUGCCAACACUCAUUGCAGGGUCAGGACGGAGAAAGGGGGUAUUAGGACCAGAGACAGGUGGCACGGGGGUCCGCUGUGUUGCGAGAACAGAUGGCUGAUCUGACGCGAAUCGGGGGCGCUGACCUUUUCUCCCCUACGGUACAGUACAGCGAUCCACGCAAGUGUUUGUGCAUGUACACAAAAAUCGAACCCACGUGCACGCACACGCUCAGACAAGCCCUCACACACAAGCACAAACUCGAGAAGGCAUUUGCACUCCUCACAGCUGUUCCCCCCUCACAGCUGCUUUCAACAUAACAGCUUAAAAAAACAAUCACCUUUUAGCGCCAUCGCCUCUUACAUGCUGUGGAUCUGAAUCCCCACUAACCUGAAUUAUUCCAUUCCCUACCACACCUACACAAAAAAAGCAUAUGAUUAUCAGCCUUGCAUGGAGGCUAAUGCUGUGGUAAAUGAUCCCUGUGUGAAGGCACGCAGACUGCAGAGAAUACAGCGCUUUAGCCGGCCACUCCCGUAUACCUCCGCACGCGGGCACACAUGCUGAAUUACCUUGUCGCUAGGCAAUUAUUUGUCCUGUCCCAGCUUUGGAGUGAUGUAAAUUACUUUAAGUGCACUUUGCAGGGGCCGCCAUCACGAUAAUGAUGAUUGCGGCGGGGCUCUGACACACACAAAUAUUCAGCUAUACCUUUAGAGAGAGGGGCUGCAUUCAGGAGGGGCUGUGAGUGGGGAAUCAAGACAUAGCAGCUAAGAAGAAACUCAGACUGAUGAGAGUAUGUGUGUGUUCUUAAGAAACAAAGAGGGAGAGAUGGAGACGAAGCCAAAUGUCUUUCAGCUUCUUUAGUAGUGAGUUGCAUUCAUCUUGUAUACCCUCUCCAUCAUUUCAUCUAACUACAGUCAGUUCAAUUUACAGAUGAAUAUCGCAACUCAUACCCAAAAUACAAUAAAUAUACAUGUUUUUCCAUCA